rnacentral:misc_RNA from 1 species
CUGCACAGUCCUUGUACCUAUUUGCUCUCUCUCCCACACUCCUCCACGACAUCGUAUGCUAAUCCCUAGCCACCCACUCCUUAAACUCCAAUUCGCAACCGCGCACAGCUACUGUGAGGACAGACGGACGGACAGACCACCUCUUAAACCCUUGUCCCUUCUUUCUUCUCUAAAUCGUUAAAUUUUCCGUUUGCUAGCCGUGAUGGAAGCAGAUGAAGAAAAUUCAGAGCCCGCACCGGCACCCACACCGGCACCGGCACCGGAGGAGCCCUCUGCUGCAGUUCCCGAAAAUCAAACUGUAGUUCAACAAAUCCCACCUAUCAUUACACCUGUAGUCCCCUCAUUUGUGCCACCUAUUGCUCCAAUACCUCCACUUCCUCCUCCCGCAAUCCCUCGCCCCUUAGCGCCUCUCCCUAUCCGCCCGCCUGUUCUUAGGACGCCACCUGUGUCGCAAAAUGGUGAAGAGAGAACGAGUGACUCAGAUUCCGAUCAAGAUGACUUUGGCCCCGCCGGGACUGCUCCGGGAUCAACGGGUGAUUAUGAGUUCUCGGAAGGAAGCCGACUUGCAAAAGAGAGAAAACAAAAGAUUGUGCAGGAAAUCAUGAUGAAGCGGCGAGCUGCUGCUCUGGCAGUGCCUACUAACGACAUGGCGGUCCGAGCCCGUCUCCGGCGGUUGGGAGAACCAAUAACGCUGUUUGGAGAACGGGAGAUGGAGAGACGAGACAGGCUAAGGAUGCUUAUGGCGAAGCUAGAUGCUGAAGGGCAAUUGGAGAAACUGAUGAAAGCUCAUGAGGAGGAGGAAGCUGCAGCUUCGGCGGUUACAGAUGAUGCUGAGGAAGAAAUGCUUCAAUACCCAUUUUAUACCGAGGGUUCAAAAGAGAUUUUAGAUGCUAGAAUUCAUAUUGCAAAGUAUUCAAUUCUAAGAGCUGCUUUGAGACUUCAACGUGCAAGGAGGAAAAGGGAUGAUCCAGAUGAAGAUUUAGAUGCUGAAAUUGAUUGGGCACUGAAGCAGGCUGGGAGCUUAGUACUUGACUCUAGUGAAAUUGGAGAUGACCGGCCACUCUCUGGUUGUUCCUUCUCGACUGAUGGAAAACUGCUCGGUACCUGUGCGUUAAAUGGAGUUGCUAAAAUAUGGAGCAUGCCUCAAGUAAAGAAGGUUGCUGCCUUGAAGGGACACACAGAGCGUGCAACAGAUAUUGCAUUUUCUCCUGUGCAAAACCAUUUAGCAACUGCCUCUGCUGAUCGAACUGCAAGGUUGUGGAAUGCUGAUGGUUCUGUCCUUCAGACAUUUGAGGGUCAUCUAGAUCGCCUUGCACGGAUUGCUUUCCAUCCAUCAGGGAAGUACUUGGGCACUACAAGCUUUGAUAAGACAUGGAGACUAUGGGAUGUAGAUACUGGUGUGGAAUUACUUCUUCAAGAAGGUCACAGUAGGAGUGUCUAUGGGAUAUCCUUCCACCAGGAUGGUUCUUUAGCAGGAUCUUGUGGACUGGAUGCACUUGCUCGUGUUUGGGAUCUUCGUACUGGAAGAAGUAUUCUGGCCUUGGAGGGCCAUGUCAAGCCAGUUCUUGGUAUCAGUUUUUCGCCCAAUGGGUAUCAUUUGGCCACUGGUGGGGAAGAUAAUACUUGUCGGAUAUGGGAUUUAAGGAAGAAAAAAUCAUUGUAUACCAUACCUGCCCACUCAAAUCUUAUAUCACAAGUGAAGUUUGAGCCUCAAGAGGGCUACAACCUGGUCACUGCAUCUUAUGACAUGACUGCUAAGGUUUGGUCAGGUCGGGAUUUCAAGCCUGUCAAGACAUUAUCAGGGCACGAAGCAAAAGUUACUUCUUUGGAUAUUAGUGCAGAUGGGCGCUAUAUUGCAACUGUCUCACAUGAUCGAACGAUCAAGCUCUGGUCCAGCAGCAGCAAUGAAAAGGAUGCUAUGGAUGUAGACUAGAUUACCUUGAGCUCCUUGCAAUGAAAAAUGAUAAAUUGUUAGAUGGUCUUGACAUUAGCUGAUCGAGCAUCAACGUUUUCUAACUUUUCCUCAUCUGCGGCAGUUUAACUUAGUAGUAUCAAGCUAUCAGCCAAUUUCAGCGAGAGAUCAAUGCGAACUGCAGCUGUAAUCCCCUUGCAUCUUAUGUAUUUGAUGUGCAGUUCUCCCAAGGUCGUACUUUAUGAUAAGGAAAUGACUGGAAGUCUGGAAUUGAUUCUACAAGGAUCUACAAACUAAAUUUUGCAGAUAUUCCAUGUUUGUCCCUGUUUGAUUCUUUCUUAAUCUUAACUAUUCAAAUGGUGGUUUUGCAAUUCUAUUUCCCUAAUCUAUAUGGCAUAUGCACAAUUAUCUUGACUGAAACGUGUUGCUUUAUUUCUAUUAUUCAAUUCUGCAUCUCCAUUGUAUGCUUGUCUAGCAAUUUACGGUUAGAUCAAGUUUUGCCAAAGAUGAGAUUGAUAAGUUGGUCCAUAGCCGCAUCAAGGGACAAUGGGAGCUGCCGUUCUGGGCAAGAAGCAUUUGACUUGAGUUCAACCUAUGCAGCAACAAUAAAAGAGAUGACUGUUGUUGGCUACUGAAUGCUGAUACAACUGGUGCUAGAUAAAGAUUAUACUUGGCAUUUGAGUUUGAUAAGGUCAUAGUACAAAAGCUAUAACUUGCAUAUCAAUUUUCAGCUGGUGAACCAUCUGAACAGAGAAGAUUGUCAGUCUUUUGUAAAAAGAUAAUUUACAGUGUGAAUCAUUGAUUCCUUUUAAGUUGAAGAUUCAAUCCAUCAAUGAAGCUGGGUAAUGUGUUAAAAACUCAAAAUGUGUUAAAAACUCAAAUCUCACCAUUCUGAUACAAUGUAGGCUACAUCCCAAGAAUGUCAAAACUGCUAGUAAUCGGUGUUCCGCCGAAAGAAGUAACUGUACUUAGCAAUACUCCACCCAUGGAAACAUUAAAUAACCCAAAUAGUUGAGUAUGGUAGGUGAGAUAACUACAAGCUGAAGGUGAUGUUACAAACUCAUUUGUACCAGCCAGCAAGCAAAUACCUCAGCAGGAAACAGAAGCCGCAUCCAAUAGCCUGAACAAGAAGAAGAUGUGCACAAAGAGACUUUUCUGACUUCCUCCCAAAAAUUCUUAAAUAAACAUUGACAACUGUUCCAUCAUUGGUUCCAGUUAACAGUCCUGUUUGAGGAUCAAACCUAGAAAAAUAGCCAAAUAUAAAAAAGAUAUCCAUAAAAUAAUUCAUAUCAAAUGCCCCUACAAGCUACGGUUCGUAAAGCAUAAGCAUAAUUAACAAAAGCAAAAACUACCUAGGCAGCCGAUGCCGAGGGCAAUAGACAUAGCCAGAAAGCUGGGGAAGCGAUAAGAGAAAGUUUAUUACUUGAGGUAAAAAGAAAAUCAGGAGCGUUUCACUGUUGAAAAAAGGAAAUUAUUAUAUUAGGUUAUAGAAAGGCAUAGUGAUAAAUGCAGAUUAAGGUUAGCAAACAAGUCAUCAUGUGGAAGACUAACACAGCAGAAUCUCAUGAAGCUCAUGGUCGAGAGAGAGAACAGAAGCAAGCCAAAUCAAGUAAAUAAGUGAAUGAAUGCCUAACAUAGGUCUCAAAUCAAGUUAGUGUGGAAAUCUAACAUCCAUACAUAAGUGAUUGAUAAAUAGAAAAUGUGGAAGGACAUGCUGGGAAACACACCUAAAAUGGCCUAAAAUCCCGACAACAGCCAUAGUCAUUCCGGCAAAGUAUGUAUAAGUAUCUCCAACAAAAACUGAAGAAGGAUACCAAUUGAAAGAAAGUAAAGCCAUGGAGGUGGCCAGUAAGGGUUGAGUAAGAUAAACAGAAAAUGCAUGGGCCUGUUGAUACUCAGGAUCCGCAGAUGCUCCAAUUUGCAUUAUAUUGUGUAUCAAAAUCUGCAAAAAUUGAUAAGCUGUCUCACAUUUCAUAACAGGGCAGAUUCCAACUGUUUUACAAGUCUUUGUGCUUGCUUACAGCAGAUGCGAUCACAACUGUUUGCCCAACUUCCAGACCAUUUAUACCAGCAUGAAUGUUAAUGGAAUUUGUGCAGAAAACCACCAAAAGCCCCAUGUAUAGCUUAUAUAUCCAUCCUAGGUCCAGUAUUUCAUGCCCAACAUAUGGAAUAAGAGGCUUUGGUAUUAUGAUAGUUGUAUGUCCAGCAUAUGCCAUCAACAAUGGAAGGGCAGCAAUUGAUGGCAGGAGUAAUUUCCUGCUCUUAACAGUUACAAGUUCGAGCGUCAGUACCUCAUCAUGCAUUAUUCAAAAAAGAAAGCUCUAUGUGUUUAUUAAGGAAAAUAUUAAUAAGAGAGAAAUCCUUAGUGGAAAACUAAAUUCUUACACUCUCCAUGGUACAUCAAGGACAUCAUCCACAAAUCCAAGUAGAGUCAUGAAGCAGAUGCAUGCAAGUGCUGCAUUAUACUCAACAAGCCACUGCAUGUAUGAAAAUUUCAACAUUAACCAUCAAUUAGUUAAAGCAUAUGGUCACAAAUUGUGAACAUAAAUCAGGCUUAGAGCUAAUGGUGGACUCUCAAUAAAGACAAUAUGUACACCCUAAAAUUGAGUAACAUAAUGGAGGAAACAUCUAGACAAUUAUUUGAAGCUGACAAGCUGUAACUAAGAUAGAAGAAUCCAUUCUCAAACUUCCAUUUCUUUAACCAAAGGAAAUAAGAUAUAUGAUCAAAUGAGUUAGUUCCAUACCAUUCAGAGAGCUUCAAUAUAAUCCAAUGUGUCAGUGUCAGCCAAUAAGAAGUUAAGGCUGCGUUUGGUGCAAGGGAUUAGACAAUACAAGACAAUAUAUGACAAUUACUACACAGAACAAGACAGCAAACAAUUGUUCCAUCCUCUGUUGGUGUAUCUAGGAGAGACAAACUAGUUGUCCUAUUUUAUGUUUGAUAAUCUUUGAACAAGAUUGGACUACAUGCAGAAAUGACAAUAAUUCCUCGUAUCCUAACCCAUGUUUGGAAUGUAAGUAUGAAACGGAUUAUAUUAUAACAUUUCUCUUAAAUACAAUUACUUGUCUAGUUUUGUUAAUUUUAGAUGUCUUCUUACGUGAGAGGUAAAGUAGUAAUUACAUUAAAUUCAAAUUAGCUAAUUUAUCAUAUCUAAGUAUAUGAUAAAAACAUAUGAAUAAAUAUGUAAAUAUAUUUAUAUAAAUUAUAUCAAAUAGGAAAAUUAAAGAUAUAAAUAAUUUCUUUUGAGUUUUUAUAAGGGGCAUUUUUGGAAUAACAAUGUUAUCAAUAUUGUUUCAUGGCCCCAGAUAACUAAUCCAACAGGAUAUGAGAGACAAAAAGUAGAGAAUUGGAAAGUGGAUAAGAAAAAAAAUACACCUUUUUUUUUUUU